GACGAACGCUGGCGGCGUGCUUAACACAUGCAAGUCGAACGGAAAGGCCCUGCUUUUGUGGGGUGCUCGAGUGGCGAACGGGGGAGUAACACGUGAGUAACCGGCCCUUGACUUUGGGAUAACUUCAGGAAACUGGGGCUAAUACCGGAUAGGAGCUCCUGCUGCAUGGUGGGGGUUGGAAAGUUUCGGCGGUUGGGGUUGGACUCGCGGCUUAUCAGCUUGUUGGUGGGGUAGUGGCUUACCAAGGCUUUGACGGGUAGCCGGCCUGAGAGGGUGACCGGCCACAUUGGGCCUGAGAUACGGCACAGACUCCUACGGGAGGCAGCAGUGGGGAAUAGUGCACAAUGGGCGGAAGGCUGAUGCAGCCAAGCCGCGUGCGGGAUGACGGCCUUCGGGUUGUAAACCGCUUUCGCCUGUGACGAAGCGUGAGUGACGGUAAUGGGUAAAGAAGCACCGGCUAACUACGUG
rnacentral:rRNA from 1 species